rnacentral:lncRNA from 13 species
CCAUUUUGAGGAGACGACCGUGUGGAAAUGUCUGGUUGGGGCUCAAUGAAAUGUUUGAUGAAUGUUAGAGUGUGUCCUUCAUGGAAAAUGUGGUGUGUGGGUGGUGUUGCCAAGGUGACCAUGUCCAAAAUGUAGGACCAUGACAUACUUCAAGACAGGCAACACAACACAUGGGAUCCCUGAGUCAUACAGCUAGGGUGGAGCCCCACUCCAAGGGGCUGAACAGAGGGCUUCUCCAGCCCAACCUGCCAUGAGCCA